GUGCACUAUGAUUGGUUUCCACCCAGUCUUUCAACUGCUAUAAAAGUAGCUGAACUUUUUCUGAACACUAAUCACACGUCCUGCAUCUACAGGUGCUCCACCAUGUCUUACCACAGACCAAACCCUAACUAUUACCCAGGAUUUCACAGACCCAUGAAUACACAUCCUUGGGGAGGACAUCACGCACCACCAAAUAAUUAUUAUCAUGGGCCUAUGCCUUAUCCACGUAAUAACUACCGGCACAAUGACUGGAGCCCCAACUAUCACUGGAAUAAUGGUAAUAAUCGACACCCUGGACACAAUGGACACAAUGGACACAAUGGACACAAUGGACACUAGUGUGCACAGCUUAGCCACAGCAAAGACUGAACCUGGAUACUCAACGAAUGUUCAUGGC